rnacentral:misc_RNA from 1 species
GGGCGGCUGGUUCGGCGGCAUCGACAACGGCGGAGAGAAAGUAAUGAGGGUGGAGAAAGUAGAAGAAAUUACAAGUGAGAAUGGGUGGAGAAGAUUUAGCCUUUAUAUGUUGGUGGAAAGCUUUGUUCUUAGGAGAUCCAAUGGAGGUUUGGUUUGGAAAUAUAGUUUUAGGCACACUCAUACCAUCAAAUGUAAAUGGGAAUAGCAAGCAACAUGAUCAUCUCUUUCUUUCUUAUUACAAGCAAAUAUUUUU